rnacentral:tRNA from 1 species
CAACAAAUAGCCUAGUGGUUAAGGCUCUGGAUCACCAAUUCGGAGACGGCGGAUUCGAUUCCUGUUCCGUUCG